CCUACGGGAGGCAGCAGUGGGGGAUAUUGCACAAUGGGGGGAACCCUGAUGCAGCGACGCCGCGUGAAGGAAGAAGUAUCUCGGUAUGUAAACUUCUAUCAGCAGGGAAGAAAAGGACGGUACCUGACUAAGAAGCCCCGGCUAACUACGUGCCAGCAGCCGCGGUAAUAUGUAGGGGGCAAGCGUUAUCCGGAUUUACUGGGGGUAAAGGGAGCGUAGGCGGCAGGGCAAGUCAGAAGUGAAAGCCCGGGGCUCAACUCCGGGACGGCUUUUGAAACUGUACAGCUUGAUUGCAGGAGAGGCAAGUGGCAUUCCUCGUGUAGCUGUUACAUGCGUAGCUAUUAGGCGGCACACCAGUGGCGACGGCUGCUUGCUGGACUGUACCUGACGCUGAGGCUCGACAGCGUGGGGAGCAAACAGGAUUAGCUACCCGAGUAGUC
rnacentral:rRNA from 1 species